GGGAAUUAUCUCACCACCUACGUACGGGAGCCCGAACAAAAGGCUCUGGCCAUUUUAUGGACCCAGGGGUGGGGAUGGGGGUGAGCUGGAGAGGGGAGGACUAGGUGUGGGAAACAGUGAAUAUUGAGUCAGAGAGAAAAAAGAGGCUUCAAGUGUCCUCCCCAGUGAGGAGGCCUCCGCAGAAUGACCCGAUGAAGAGACCUCCUCUCUCUGAAUGCAGGGAGGGCUAGAGAUGCAGAUAUGCAUAAGCGCAUGGUGCUGAGGAUGGAGUGACUGAGCCCUUGACUGCAGCUCCCUUCAGAGACUGCAGUUUACUGGCUGCACACAGUCUGGUGUGGGGAGGACAAUUUUUCCCUGUGAAGCCUGCCAGGAUAUAAAGAUGUUUAAUUGGACAACCUUAUUCAUUCAGCUGUGACUUGCAGAAGGAUCUGAGCAGGGAGCUGGUUUGGAUUAAAGUCACAUACAAACUGAGCCAUCUCCAACAUCUACAUCAGGAAGUAACUCUAACUCAAGAUAGAGGUCACUGGAGGGGCAACAGGUGCUGAGAUGUCUAUGCAGGCAAGUCUGAGGUUAGCCUCCCAGAGUUUCGGGGAAAAGCACACAGGCAUUCCUGAACACUCUGAGAGGUGCAGAAAAGUGGCUGAGCAGACAGACACAAGGUCUGGCAUGGAGGCAGAGGAUCACAGCGGAGCAUGGACCUAACAGCUGGAUGCCGUGUGGUGAUAUCACUAUCAGCAGAAGAUGCAACAAGACCGGGGCCACUGCUCAAGGCCAGAGAAACAGGUUUGUAGGGGCCAGUGGGUCAGCGGUGACCAUAGAAGACAGUCUUCUCUACUUUGAUAGCAAAACAAUGCGUAAGGCACCUGAGGAACUCAGAUUACAACCAGGGAGAAGAAAAUCAGAGGUACAAGGUGGGAUGCAUCCUGAAUUGGUAGAGGAGAUACCCCAGAGUGUUCUACCAGAGUUGACAGAAUUACCUUGAAUAAAUAAGAAGAAGGUAUUUUAUUACCAACAGUCUCAUGGGCUAAGUUUAAGUACAGAGGAAUAAAGUUAUAUCUUUACACACUUGGGUGUGUGACAAUGUAAAAUGUCAACAUUAUACUUCCCAAUGGACUAUGCCAUGCAGAAGGCAGAAAGAAGUCAAAAGCCUGUUCUUUUUUUUCCCAUUCCAUAGUAAAUAGCAGAAAUUAUUCCCUUUGUUAAUCUAAGCAUACACCAGUCUGUAGGUUCAUAAUGAGAAAUAACUUUUUGUUCUUUGAUUUUUUUAAACAAAAUAUAGAAUUUAUAAGACAAACCCUUUUUGGUUUGUGUUUUAUUCCACCUUCUUUUAGCUAGAUUUGAAUGAAAGCAAAAUAAAGCUAUGUAUUGAAUAAAUAUGUUAACUCCACAGUAUUUUUGAAUAUAUAUUUUUCAUGGUAUAGUUCCAACUUUCAUUGGUGAUAUUGAUAUGAAAGUCAGAUUUACUGAGAGGUAAUGUUCAGCCUUGGAAGCAUCACCAAAAUGUGUAUAUAAGGCCUUUGUCCACUAAUGAGUGUCCUUUUAUGUGACUGGUUUUGUAAAGCCUUACACUGUGAAUGGACCGUCAAUCAACUCGCAGCUGCACUGAGGCCUUCGGAUGGCUGUAUCCAUGGCAACGUGCCAAAAAUGGCGGCGCAAAUUAAUCCAUUUGUGUGAAAUUCUCAGUGAGAGUCCACUUUCAUCUUUCAGAAACUACUGUUAGGAAGUCUGAUGAUAAUGUAAAAUACUAAGCAAAAGCAAAAUAGUGAUGGACUAUCCACAGGAUCUUCUCCCUGUAAACAGUGGGACUUCUUUUCCUUUUUAUCUGCUAGAGAUGACAGAGCAGAGUUGGGGAUGUAAUAUUACCACCAUAAUGUUCUUUUUACAAAAAAAGUUACAUUAAUUUAAUGUUCACAUAUAGGCUUCUUUUUCACCUUCUCUCACAAUGCUAUCUAAUCAGCCUGGAAAAUAAGUACAAUGAUUUACACAGUGGUA
rnacentral:lncRNA from 1 species